GAGAAUGCCGGUGUGAGUAGCGAAAGACGGGUGAGAAUCCCGUCCACCGAUUGACUAAGGUUUCCAGAGGAAGGCUCGUCCGCUCUGGGUUAGUCGGGUCCUAAGCUGAGGCCGACAGGCGUAGGCGAUGGAUAACAGGUUGAUAUUCCUGUACCACCUAUAAUCGUUUUAAUCGAUGGGGGGACGCAGUAGGAUAGGCGAAGCGUGCGAUUGGAUUGCACGUCUAAGCAGUAAGGCUGAGUAUUAGGCAAAUCCGGUACUCGUUAAGGCUGAGCUGUGAUGGGGAGAAGACAUUGUGUCUUCGAGUCGUUGAUUUCACACUGCCGAGAAAAGCCUCUAGAUAGAAAAUAGGUGCCCGUACCGCAAACCGACACAGGUAGUCAAGAUGAGAAUUCUAAGGUGAGCGAGCGAACUCUCGUUAAGGAACUCGGCAAAAUGACCCCGUAACUUCGGGAGAAGGGGUGCUCUUUA
rnacentral:rRNA from 1 species